rnacentral:rRNA from 1 species
UACGGAGGGUGCAAGCGUUAAUCGGAAUUACUGGGCGUAAAGCGCACGUAGGCGGUGUGUUAAGUUGGAUGUGAAAGCCCCGGGCUCAACCUGGGAAUUGCAUUCAAAACUGGCACGCUAGAGUAUGUGAGAGGGGGGUAGAAUUCCAAGUGUAGCGGUGAAAUGCGUAGAGAUUUGGAGGAAUACCAGUGGCGAAGGCGGCCCCCUGGCACAAUACUGACGCUCAGGUGCGAAAGCGUGGGGAGCAAACAGG